GGUAAGUGGUUCUUUUCAAUCUGUGGGUUUCUUGUACCUACAAGAAUGUGUUUGUGGUAUUUGAUAAGACAAACGUCACAACAUCAAUUCAGUAGCAUUCACUAGAAAUGACUGAGUGCUAAAAGUGCUGAGUGUACCUCUUUUUUAUGGGUUCAUUGACAAACAAAACAAUACAAAAGCCAUAGCAAAACUGUUUUGGGCCAAAAAUUAACAUCAAUUCAGUAGCAUUCACUAGAAAUGACUGAGUGCUAAAAGUGCUGAGUGUACCUCUUUUUAUGGGUUCAUUGACAAACAAAACAAUACAAAAGCAAUAGCAAAACUGUUUCGGGCCAAAAAUGUCCAUUUCAAUCCUUCCCUAUUCCAAAGCUUUUCUUGUUUGUUAGGUCUGUUGGAUGUGUCUGUUCUCGGCUGUUUCUCCAGGUCUGAAUCUGUUCUGAUUUUUGCUUGUAGGCGCUGAACUUGCUCAGCAAAUGACAUCUAUACGUCCUAAGUCUAAAUCACUGCUGGGGAAACUGGGUCAAGCCCUGUCUCGUAAUCAUGAUUCUAAAAAGUUUAGACGCUCAAGGAUGAUGGCUGAUUAUUAUGACAGUGACAUCUGUUCUGCAUCAUUGGCAAUAAAGGGUGAAUGGACCAAACAUAGACACUGAAGUCCCCUUCACAUAUCAACUGACAUUGUGAUGUACUUUAUUUGUCUAGAUUUAUGCAG
rnacentral:lncRNA from 1 species